ensembl:misc_RNA Metazoa_SRP Metazoan signal recognition particle RNA
GCCGGGAGCAGUGGCGCGCGCCUGUAAUCCAAGCUGCUGGGAGGCUGAGGCUGGCGGAUCGCUUGAGUUCAUGGGGUUCUGGGCUGCAGUGGACUAUGUCGAUCGGGUGUCCGUGCUAAGUUCGGUAUCGAUAUGGUGCUCCUGGGGGAGCUCGGGACCACCAGGUCGUCUAAGGAGGGGUGAACCGGCCCAGGUCGGAGACGGAGCAGGUCAAAGCCCCCGUGCCGAUCAGUAGUGGGGUCGCACCUGUGAAUAGACACUGCAGUGCAGCCUGAGCUAUACAGCGAGACUCAGUCUUUU